rnacentral:misc_RNA from 1 species
GAAAUGCGAUACUUGGUGUGAAUUGCAGAAUCCGCGAGUCAUCAGAUUUUCGAACGCAACCGGCGUUGUGGGUUAAUUACCUGCAGCAAGUUUGCUUCAGUCUUAUUGAUUAUUACACAUCAAAAUGCGAUUGAACUCCGGUUCUCUCGUUAAACGUGAAUACGACGUAUUCCAACCCAGUGAAGCAGUCACGUUCUCGUGAUUUCGCUGGCUCUUGGACUAUGGACAGUAUCGAGACGCUAGUCUUUCACGAUAAUCAAAGCUGAAGUCAAGCUAGACUACCCGCUGAACUUAA